AUCCUAGCGUUUCAAUCGCCAUGCUCUACCAACUGAGUCACACAGGUGUCAUAUUGAGUUGUGUUUUGAUAAAACUACGGGUGUCAUAUUGAGUUGUGUUUUGAUAAAGCUACAGGUGUCAUAUUGAGUUGUGUUUUGAUAAAACUACAGGUGUCAUAUUGAGUUGUGUUUUGAUAAAACUACAGGUGUCAUAUUGAGUUGUGUUUUGAUAAAGCUACAGGUGUCAUAUUGAGUUGUGUUUUGAUAAAACUACGGGUGUCAUAUUGAGUUGUGUUUUGAUAAAGCUACAGGUGUCAUAUUGAGUUGUGUUUUGAUAAAACUACAGGUGUCCUAUUGAAGUUGUGUUUUGAUAAAACUACAGGUGUCCUAUUGAAGUUGUGUUUUGAUCAAAUAUGGAGCGAUGAUGUUUUAGAGCCCUCAGAGCACCAGCAAUGAGAAAGCUCUCGUUACCAACAAAUAUACACCUUUCUCCUUAUUGAAAAACCUCACAAAUAUUGAUGCCAUAUUUGUUUGACGUAACGUUUUACAGCUUUCAGAGUCUCUGAGAGCAGCCAGCCAGCCAGCCAGCCAGCCAGCCAGUAACACUCUCCUACAGUUAUCUCUACCCCAGAGUCUCUGAGAGCAGCCAGCCAGCCAGCCAGUAACACUCUCCUACAGUUAUCUCUACCCCAGAGUCUCUGAGAGCAGCCAGCCAGCCAGCCAGCCAGCCAGUAACACUCUCCUACAGUUAUCUCUACCCCAGAGUCUCUGAGAGCAGCCAGCCAGCCAGCCAGCCAGCCAGCCAGCCAGCCAGCCAGUAACACUCUCCUACAGUUAUCUCUACCCCAGAGUCUCUGAGAGCAGCCAGCCAGCCAGCCAGCCAGUAACACUCUCCUACAGUUAUCUCUACCCCAGAGUCUCUGAGAGCAGCCAGCCAGCCAGCCAGCCAGUAACACUCUCCUACAGUUAUCUCUACCCCAGAGUCUCUGAGAGCAGCCAGCCAGCCAGCCAGCCAGUAACACUCUCCUACAGUUAUCUCUACCCCAGAGUCUCUGAGAGCAGCUAGCCAGCCAGUAACACUCUCCUACAGUUAUCUCUACCCCAGAGUCUCUGAGAGCAGCCAGCCAGCCAGCCAGUAACACUCUCCUACAGUUAUCUCUACCCCAGAGUCUCUGAGAGCAGCCAGCCAGCCAGCCAGCCAGUAACACUCUCCUACAGUUAUCUCUACCCCAGAGUCUCUGAGAGCAGCCAGCCAGCCAGUAACACUCUCCUACAGUUAUCUCUACCCCAGAGUCUCUGAGAGCAGCCAGCCAGCCAGUAACACUCUCCUACAGUUAUCUCUACCCCAAAGUCUCUGAGAGCAGCCAGCCAGCCAGCCAGCCAGUAACACUCUCCUACAGUUAUCUCUACCCCAGAGUCUCUGAGAGCAGCUAGCCAGCCAGUAACACUCUCCUACAGUUAUCUCUACCCCAGAGUCUCUGAGAGCAGCCAGCCAGCCAGCCAGCCAGCCAGUAACACUCUCCUACAGUUAUCUCUACCCCAGAGUCUCUGAGAGCAGCUAGCCAGCCAGUAACACUCUCCUACAGUUAUCUCUACCCCAGAGUCUCUGAGAGCAGCCAGCCAGCCAGCCAGUAACACUCUCCUAUAGUUAUCUCUACCCCAGAGUCUCUGAGAGCAGCCAGACAGCCAGUAAC